GGAUAAAUAUGUUUAGAACUUGUUUAUUUAUUGUGGUCUCAUGAAUUGCGUAGUUGUCUCAUAAAUCUGUAUAUGGUUAACAGUGUGGUCCUGUCUUGUGUGCAUUGUAGAUUAGUCUACGGCUGUCCGUGCCUUUGGUUUGUUUAUUUAUGGAAGUCUGGGUUUGCUGUAGUGCUGGAAUGGUGCUUCUUCCAUUGGUGUUUAUCUUGUACCAAUAAUUAAUUGUGUGCAUAAUUGGAAUCCCUUGGUGAAGGAUUAGAAUUUAGCCGCUCAGUCAUAGGCUUUGAUUGGAGCCCCUUCUUUUGGUCUGCUUGUGGUCCUUAUAGGCGAAAUAUCGGUGUUGAAUAAAACCAAUAUCCCAAUUGUAUUCUGAAUGCAAGCGAAAUGACAUUAGUCAUUCUUCAGUUGCUCGUAAUUGCUUGA
rnacentral:misc_RNA from 1 species